GAUGAACGCUGGCGGCGUGCUUAACACAUGCAAGUCGAACGGUGAAGCAGAGCUUGCUCUGUGGAUCAGUGGCGAACGGGUGAGUAACACGUGAGCAACCUGCCCCUGACUCUGGGAUAAGCGCUGGAAACGGCGCCUAAUACAGGAUAUGAGCUGCGACCGCCUGGUCAGCAGUUGGAAAGAUUUUUCGGUCUGGGCUGGGCUCACGGCCUAUCAGCUUGUUGGUGAGGUAAUGGCUCACCAAGGCGUCGCGGGGUAGCCGGCCUGAGAGGGUGACCGGGCACACUGGGACUGAGACACGGCCCAGACUCCUACGGGCGGCAGCGGUGGGGAGUCUUGCACAAUGGGCGAAAGCCUGAUGCAGCAGCGCCGCGUGCGGGAUGACGUCCUUCGGGUUGUAAACCUCUUUUAGCAGAGAAGAAGCGAAAGUGACGGUACCUGCAGAAAAAGCGCCGGCUAACUACGUG
rnacentral:rRNA from 1 species